rnacentral:tRNA from 1 species
GGAGAGAUGCCGGAGCGGUUAAACGGCGCCGGUUGGAAACCGGAUGGUCGUCGUGAUGCGACGACACCAGGGUUCGAAUCCCUGUCUCUCCG